UACAGAGGGUGCAAGCGUUGUUCGGAAUUAUUGGGCGUAAAGGGCGCGUAGGCGGUGCGGUAAGUCUGCGGUGAAAUCUCCCGGCUCAACUGGGAGGCUGCCGUGGAAACUGCCGUGCUUGAGUGUGGGAGAGGUGAGUGGAAUUCCCGGUGUAGCGGUGAAAUGCGCAGAUAUCAGGAAGAACACCUAUGGCGAAGGCAGCUCUCUGGGACGGUACUGACGCUGAGACGCGAAAGCGUGGGGAGCGAACAGG
rnacentral:rRNA from 1 species